rnacentral:rRNA from 1 species
GAUGAACGCUGGCGGCGUGCCUAAUACAUGCAAGUCGAGCGAACAGAUAAGGAGCUUGCUCCUUUGACGUUAGCGGCGGACGGGUGAGUAACACGUGGGUAACCUACCUAUAAGACUGGGAUAACUUCGGGAAACCGGAGCUAAUACCGGAUAACAUUUGGAACCGCAUGGUUCUAAAGUGAAAGAUGGUUUUGCUAUCACUUAUAGAUGGACCCGCGCCGUAUUAGCUAGUUGGUAAGGUAACGGCUUACCAAGGCGACGAUACGUAGCCGACCUGAGAGGGUGAUCGGCCACACUGGAACUGAGACACGGUCCAGACUCCUACGGGAGGCAGCAGUAGGGAAUCUUCCGCAAUGGGCGAAAGCUUGACGGAGCAACGCCGCGUGAGUGAUGAAGGGUUUCGGCUCGUAAAACUCUGUUAUUAGGGAAGAACAAACGUGUAAGUAACUGUGCACGUCUUGACGGUACCUAAUCAGAAAGCCACGGCUAACUACGUG